AUCAGUCAAUCACAAUGAGAGAUCAGGUAGACCAAGGAAUGACUUAUAGAGAUCGGAGGGCUCGGGGAGUUGAAUCACUUUUAAUCAUAACCCUUAAUUCGUAAGAAUAAUUUCCCUACCGUCAGAUCCUAGUCAGUUAAAGCAUUUUAGGUACGAUUUAAUCCUCACCACCCAUUUCAUUUGUAAGGAUGCACUCUUCGCCAUUACAUUUCGAACGGUUAAAG
rnacentral:misc_RNA from 1 species